rnacentral:piRNA from 1 species
UCCCAGCCACCACUCCUAGAGACAUUUU